rnacentral:rRNA from 1 species
UACGUAGGGCGCAAGCGUUGUCCGGAAUUAUUAGGCGUAAAGAGCGUGUAGGCGGCCAUACAGGUCAGCUGUGAAAACUCGAGGCUCAACCUCGAGACGUCGGUUGAAACCGUAUGGCUAGAGUCCGGAAGAGGAGAGUGGAAUUCCCGGUGUAGCGGUGAAAUGCGCAGAUAUCGGGAAGAACACCCGUGGCGAAGGCGGCUCUCUGGGACGGUACUGACGCUGAGACGCGAAAGCGUGGGGAGCGAACAGG